rnacentral:rRNA from 1 species
GAUGAACGCUGGCGGCGCGCCUAAUACAUGCAAGUCGAGCGAACAGACGAGGAGCUUGCUCCUCUGACGUUAGCGGCGGACGGGUGAGUAACACGUGGAUAACCUACCUAUAAGACUGGGAUAACUUCGGGAAACCGGAGCUAAUACCGGAUAAUAUAUUGAACCGCAUGGUUCAAUAGUGAAAGACGGUUUUGCUGUCACUUAUAGAUGGAUCCGCGCCGCAUUAGCUAGUUGGUAAGGUAACGGCUUACCAAGGCAACGAUGCGUAGCCGACCUGAGAGGGUGAUCGGCCACACUGGAACUGAGACACGGUCCAGACUCCUACGGGAGGCAGCAGUAGGGAAUCUUCCGCAAUGGGCGAAAGCUUGACGGAGCAACGCCGCGUGAGUGAUGAGGGUCUUCGGAUCGUAAAACUCUGUUAUUAGGGAAGAACAAAUGUGUAAGUAACUAUGCACGUCUUGACGGUACCUAAUCAGAAAGCCACGGCUAACUACGUG